CGAUGCUAUUUUUCGAAUCUCUUUGAAUAAAUAGGACACUUAAUAACAGAAUGUCCUCCAGUUUAAAUUAUGGGUUUGCAAUAGACUAGAAUUCUACACGUAGCAAAAAAAUCAUAAUAUUCACUAUCGUAGUGUAAUAUCUACUAUCGUGUUAACAUAACAAAUAUAUAGUCGCGCCAAAGAAUUAAUUUUUCCUGUAUAAUAUACAAUACAUUACUAUCCGGCAUGAAUGAGCACGCACUAUAAUUAAAAUGUCUAGUCUGAGUUUUUCGUACGGCGUCAAAUAAUUAGCUCUAUAGACACCAAAAUAAUGAGCCUAUGGUUUAUUGUUCGGUUAUUAGUCUUUAGGUAGACUCGUUCUCAGACGUGCUACUGCAUUAACGCAUUUUAAAAUGAUUUUAUGGCGUCUAUGUAAAAAUUUUUAAUUUUGACAAAAUUUUAAAAUAAAAUACCAAAAAUUUUGUACAGAAAUGGAGCAAUCGCAGAAAAUUGUAGGUGAUUCAUCAUCAUCAUCAUCAACUAAUACCAGUAAAAUGACCGGUCCCAAUGAAGACACUAUUCCUAUAAUUGUGUUCAGCAUUCAAUGGAUGAUUCAUGUGCUCAGUGAUUGCAAGAACCCCAAGUGUGAAUUACUUAAUUGCCGAAAAAUGAAACAACUGCUUGUCCAUUGCAAACGUUGCGACAAACAGAUGAUAGGCGGCUGUCAACUUUGUAAAAUUUUCAUGUCUCUGUGCUACUUUCACAUGAACAAUUGUCAAAAAUCAUCGAAAUGUGUCGUCCCAUUUUGUUCCACUAUGAAGCACAAGUCGAAUCAAAGUCUAAAUGAUUUGACUUCGAAAGAUUAUGAGAUACUCGGUCUCGUGCCAGUACCAGUACCAAUGUCUGAACCAGUGACCCAGAAUCCGGGACCAUCUGAUGAUCCAUCACAGAAAUCUGUAGCCAAUUCAUUAGAGCCAAUUAAUGAAUUCCGACCGAAUUCACGAUCGGAGCCUUCGCCAUUUUUGGUUCCUUCUCUUCCAUCCAUGCCAAUCCUCGACCCGGAGGAAUCUGCAUCUUCGCGGAAUAAUCGGCCAGAGAUUCCACCUGGACAACAAAUAAAAAUGGCUUCUAUUAAUAAACGGCCUAUAAAAUUUUCUGAUUCACACUCAGCACAAUCAGCUUCUCCCAAAAAACGGCCUAAGAUUUUAACUGGACAUCAAAGAAAACCAGCAGCUUUACAUUCAACGGAACAAUUGCCGACAACUUCUAAGCCGCGCCAAUGAUAUAAAAGGGCCUGUAAAUUUAGUAAAAUCACCAGUGUAAACUUUGAGUUGCAAGGAGCACGUCUAUAACAGACUACAGGACAAUUUGCCUAGUUCAAUUAUUCAGUUAGUGUGGUUCAGUUGAUAUCGUUCAGUGUCCUGUUACAACAUAUUCACGUAUUUUAAUAAACUUUUACUUUGUGCAUACAAACGUUAACCAAGGAUUUUAAUUUUACAAGGAUCUUUUUUAAAAAAAAUUUUGACUUUCUACAUCAGUGACUUCAACUACGAACUACAUCAAAAAUAAAAAUGGCGCCAACUUUUAAAAAUACGGAUUACAGUAGUCCAUCAACUUCAGAAUCGACGAGCAGUUCAUCUGAAGACACAGAUAUGAGACCAGAAGAGUACAUUAUGUGGAUCGUCCACGCAUAUUGCCUUUGUAAAGCUGGCGGAUGUGAACUUUUCAACUGUCAGCAAAUCCACAGAGUGAUCACGCAUCUUGGGAAAUGUGACAGAAGACCCAGAGGUCCAUGUCAUAUUUGCCAGCAAUUUAUUUCUCUGUGUUACCACCACGUAAAAAGUUGCAAAGUGGAACCUGCCUGCCGGAUGCCAUUUUGUACGGACAUAAGAGAAAAUGUCCAGCGUCGAGAGACCACGCCCAGAUUUCGGGAUACUUACAAACAGCUCGGUCUCCAGCAAGUGCCGUUACCGGAAUCCCUUCGACGGAAAGUACUAAUACUUUUAUCAUCUGUAGCGAAGCCUGGUAAUCAAGAGAUGGAUUCUUCUGUUCAACGUUUACUAAAUGAUAUGACUACAAGUUACGAACCGGAGCCUCGUCCAGAAAUUAAUAUUAGGGAAAGGGUAGCUUCUCUAUUCACUCCCAUGUCAACUGAUUCUCCUUUCGCACACGAUUCUAAAUGUACGUGUGCCCUUUGUUGGCGCGUAUAUGACGCUCAUGCUCGAUUUUUAACUCAAUAUUGACCAAUGAACAAAUAAAUAUGAGUAAAAUGAUUCAUUCAUUUUUAUUGGGACUGCCAAUGGCGGUAAAUUUUAUUGUUUUUAUAAACUGUACCUAUUGACAUUAAUAUGAUUCAUGUAUGUUUGGAGUAUUGUCUAAUAAACUUUUAAUUUUUACUUUAA